UUGUUUCUCCUACACUGCAACUCCAUGUUUUUGAAGUCCCCAAAUUUAUAGUAUCAUUCUUAUCCUCUACCAUCACCGAGUGAAAGAAGUGCCUAACUCAUAUGUAUGGCAGUUUAAUGGGACUUUCUGUUGUUUCCAGUUUGGGGCUACAAAGUUUUGUAACAGGUCCUUGUGUCUGGCAGUGUGUGUUUUCCAGAUUUAUUAUCUUUCUUCAAGAUUGGUUUGGCCUCUCUUAGGUGCUUAUAUUUCCAAAUACAUUUUAAAGGUAUUAGUUUGUCAAUUUCCCAAAACAUUGGGCUGGAAUUUCUGUCAGGGUGACAUUAAAUUUGUAAGUCAGUUUGGAAAGAACUGAAUCUUGACACCUUGAGUCUUUCCAUUCCUCAAUAUAAUUAUCCUUCCAAUUUAUUUGGGAUUUCUUUUAUUUUCCCAGGAAUGUUGUGAUUUUGUUGUCAUGGCUUUCAAGUCUUUGGUUUUCCCUAGAUAAUUAAUAUUCUUGUUGUGGAACAUAAUCAGUUUUUAUCAUUCUGAUGAUGUUAAUCUGUCAACUUUGCUAAUUUUACUAAUCACUGUUCAUAAUUUAUUUCUGGAUUCAUUGUAAUUUCUGUGUACAUUAUAUGUAUCUGGGUUAAUAUUGUUUUAUUUCUUAUUUUCCAUUUCUCAUGGGCUUAAUGCCUCUUUAUUGCAUUCAUUAUUGCAUUGGCUAGAAUUUCUAGGAGAGUGUUGAAUAGAAUUGGUGACAGUGGGGAUCCUUGUUUUUCAUUUCUAAUCUGCAGAAAGCAGUGGAAGUUUUCCAUUUCAAUAUCGAGAAUGAUGCUUGAAGUAGAUUUUGGUAGUUUUUCUUGUUAUAAGAUUAGAGAAGUUUGCUGUCUCAUAUAUAUAUAUGUCAUCAUUGUGUAUAAAAUCUUAUCAAUCAAUUCUGGGCAUCUAUUUAUACAAUUGUGUGUUAGUCCAUUUCCAUUGCUAUAAAGGAAUAUCUUUGGCUGGGUAAUUUAUUUAAAAAGAGUUUUACUUUGGCUCAUGGUUCUGCAGGCUGUACAAGAGGCAUAAUGGGAGCAGGCAUCUCCUCCUAGUGAGGACUUCAGGUAGCUUUCAAUCACGGAAGAAGGUGAAGGGGAAGCAAGCGUGUCACAUGGCAAGAGAGGGUGUAAGGGAAAAAGGGGUAGAAGUAACUUUAAACAACCAGCUUGUGUGUGAACUAACAGAAUAUGGACUCACUUAUUAUCAUGGGAAGUGCCUUAAGCCACUUAUGAAGAAUUCAUCCCCAUGUCCUAAAUACCUCCCACCAGACCCCACCUACAACAUUGGGAAUCACAAUGAGAUUUGAAGGGGACAAAUAUCCAUUCAACAUCAGAUUACAUAUAUUUGGCUUACAUUCCUCACUAAAUAAAAAUAAGUAUCCACAUAAAGAUGAACUGACCUUCUUCAUAUUGUUUAGGACUUCAGUGUUUACAUUCACAAGAGAUUUAGUUUAUAAUUUUCUUUCCCAGAAUUUUCAAGAUUUUUGAUAUUAAGAUUAUACCAGCCUUAUAAAACUAGGCGAAAAAAGUUUCCUAAUGCGAGUCUGUUUUUAUUGCCGUUCCCUCUCCCCACUUUUCUUCUUGUGAUAACUUAGUUGUAUCUUUGAAAUGUCUGAUAAAUUUUGGUUAAGUACCAGAUGUUAUAUAUAAGAAAUUACAGAAUUGCAAAGGAAGUUUAUAUUCUUUAAAGAAAUAUUCAUUCCUCUCCCAUAGGCAGUCAUAAUGACAUAACACCUGUUGUCAUGAUUCAGAACUGGAUGUAAUGCAAAGACAGCCAAAAAUUGAGUGUCAGUGUUAGCUUAGCUCUCUGAGUUUCUCCUACCUCUGGAACCUUGAGACCAAUUUUUAUCUCAGUGGUUUUACAAUGCGUUCUAUCACAUGGUUUCUGUAUUUAUCCAGACACUCCAGUUGCCAUCUCAAACCUACUUUUUCCAAGUAAAACCAUAGUCUCCAAUGCACUGCAAUAUUAUUAGUGAAAUAAAAAAUAAUAUAACUGAAACUUGUAUUUUCAAGGGGAAAAAGCAAUGAGAUUGGUAAGGUUGCAAUUACUAAUGUCAUCUUUUGAAGAAGACAGAAUUGAUAAUUUACUGAGAGAUUAUGCGGCUUACCCUAAUGGUCACUGAUUUAAUACAAGAAAAAAUACUUCAAUGCACUCUGUCUUCACAAACACAGGAGGUAACCAGAGAUGAUUUUUGUUUCUCAAAAUUAGGGUCUGAGGGUAAUAGUAAUGAAACUUACUUCUUCUCCUAUAACUAAUUAAAUGAGAAAUAUACUGAAGAAUCAGGCAGGAGUUGCCAGUCUCCCCAGUUCACUGCAUCAGCUUUGGUGACCUGCUGGAGGGGAAAUGCUGCAUCUGAUGAGCUUCUUCACUCACCCCCAUGCAGGGCAACUCAUGCUGUGUCUGGUGUCUUUUGAGCCCUGAGAAGCCAGAGCCCAAGGGAAUUACCCAUUGAAUCCCUUCUUCAUGGAAUAGCCCAGUACAGAAAAAUGCAACACUGUGUGGCCAAUUCUACCCUCUUUACAAAUCAGAUAUAUGUGUUCUUCUGUCACAGGCUGGAUCCAUUUAUCUAGCUGGAGAUAGUAGUCUGAGACAGGAGUUGGCAAACUUUCUGUAAUGGGUCAGAUAGUAAAUAUUUUAGACUUUUCCGGCCAUGUGGUUUCUGUUGCAAUUUUUGACAUCUGCUAUUGUAGCAUGAAAGCAGUCAUAAACAAUCUGCAAAUGGAUGAGGAUUGAUAUGUUCCAAUUUUUAUAGAAACAAAUGUAAAUUUCCCAUAAAAUGUUUGUUUCAAAAAUAUUAUUUCUUAUUUGCAUUUGUUCAAUGUAAAUACUUUUAGCUCACAUACUAUACAAAAACAGGUGGCAGGAUGGAUUUGUGCAGGGAGUAUUUUUUCUUGAUGCCUAAUAAAAGAAAUUCCUGUCCAGCAGAAUUUUCUGCAAAGAUGUGCGAUUGAUUUGUGCUUUUGUGUCCUAUUUAAAAAAUAUUUGUCAGCACAAGACUCCAAAGACUGGCUUUUAACUUUCCCAGAAUUUUUUUGUUUUAGCUCUUAUAUUUAGAACAAUGACAUAUUUCAAAUUAAUUUUUAUUCAUAAUAUGAAGUAAUAGUGGCCAUGCUUCAAUAUCUAUAAAUUUCUACUUAUUCGAGUAACAUUUGUAGAAAUAAAUCUGCGUUGGCAUCUUAAUAACAUUUUAAUAUAGUACUUGUUUAGAAACAUUCAAGGGAAUAUUUUUAAAAAACAAAAUUAUAGACUAUUUAUAUAGAAAUUUAGGGGGUAGAAUUUUUCCUCACCUUUGCAUUAUAACAUUUUUUUAAAUAAAUAACAUUACACACACAUAUGUGUAUGUACAUAUGGCAGUGUGUAUAUAUAUCUACUUUGAUAUCUGUCCAUCCAUCUAUUUAUGCCUCAAUACUUGAGUAUGUAUAGCACAAUAACAAUGGUUUUCUCCUACAUGAUAAUAAUAGCAUUCAUACUGUGGAGUUAUUAGUAAAACAUUAUUAUUUACUAUACAGCUUAUAUUUAAAAUGUCCCAAUUUUUAAAGAAUAUUUUAAUCACUCUUUUCUUUCAAUUCACUCUCCAGUCAAGAAGUAGGCACAUAAUUUCGGUAUCCUGAUAUUUUCAUCUCCUGUAAUCAAGAAGAGUCCAUUUCCUCUGUUUCCUUUCAGUAUGUUGAUCUCUGUGAAGAGCUGAAGUCAUUAGUCAUUUAAAUUUUCCUGGGGCUCAUUUUGUAUGAUUGUUUUCUAGAUAUUAUAUUCCAGUUAUGACUUUGGCAAGAAAGCUACAUAGUACUUUGAAUAUCCCACUGAAUCACAGUGGUGAGGCAGGGGCACAUAAUGUCACAUAUGCCAUUGUUGGGUUGUGGUAAGAUUCUCACCUAAUAAGUUGGAAUCUGCCAGAUCUCUCCAUUGAAGGGGUUCUGCUUUUUAUGUGUAAAUGAUGAAAAUCUAUGGCAUGGUACUGUAAGACUGAACACCCUGCUUCCCAAAUUACACAUCCAAUGGUUUUAUCUUUCAUUGCCUGACCUGAUGAUCUUGACCUGAAUGGUUACAAAUAGGUGAUUUUUCUAAUUUCAUCAUUCCUUCUGUAUUUUUAAGCUAGGAUAAAUCUGUAAUGAAUAUCUCUCCCAUAUCUUUAAAUGAAGACAAACAAACUGCAUGACAAUGACAAGAGCUCAAUAGUUUUGUCCUUGCCACUACACUUGUUACCAUCCCAGAAGACGUCAUUUGAAACUCAAUCAUGUGUUUAUUCACAAAUGCCCUGUGAACAGAUACUGUGGCCAUUUCCCAUGUCAACAAAGACUUCAACUUUAAGUCAUAAUCUACACAUAAGGUUGGUGAAAACUGAAAUGAUGGAAUAGGGCAGCAAGUGUGGACAGCCACUAGUGUCCAAGCUUGAUGAAAAGGAGAACAGACUCAGAAGGUUGCACCCAAAUAUCCAAGUACUCUGGACUUCAAAUGUGAUUUCAGGGCACUUUAGCAAGUUUAUUUUCUCUGGUCUUAAGCUCAUGC